GUGCUCGCUUCAGAGCACAUAUACUAAAAUUAGAAUACAGAGAAGAUUAACAUGGCCCUUGCGCAAGGAUGGCAUGCAAAUUCAUGAAGCAUUCUAUAUAUUU
rfam:Tupaia chinensis contig64443, whole genome shotgun sequence.